UACGUAGGGACCAAGCGUUGUUCGGAUUUACUGGGCGUAAAGGGCGCGUAGGCGGCGUGGUAAGUCACUUGUGAAAUCUCCGAGCUUAACUCGGAACGGUCAAGUGAUACUGCUGUGCUAGAGUGCAGAAGGGGCAAUCGGAAUUCUUGGUGUAGCGGUAAAAUGCGUAGAUAUCAAGAGGAACACCUGAGGUGAAGACGGGUUGCUGGGCUGACACUGACGCUGAGGCGCGAAAGCUAGGGUAGCAAACGGG
rnacentral:rRNA from 1 species